CGGGAUGUAGCUCAGUUUGGCUAGAGCACCUGCUUUGGGAGCAGGGGGUCGCAGGUUCAAAUCCUGUCAUCCCGA
rfam:Moorella glycerini strain NMP genome assembly, contig: M_glycerini_NMP_DRAFT_scaffold-22